rnacentral:rRNA from 1 species
UAUCUCUGUAGAGUCUGCAUAUCAAUAAGCGGAGGAAAAGAAACUAACUAGGAUUCCCUUAGUAACGGCGAGUGAAGCGGGAAGAGCUCAAAUUUGAAAUCUUCCAAGGUUUUACCUUGACGAAUUGUAGUUUAAAGAAGUGUUUUCUGUUGGGAUUUUGGUAAAAGUUCUUUGGAAAUAGGACAUCAUAGAGGGUGAGAAUCCCGUAUUUGACCAUUAUUUCCAGCUUUGUGAUACACUUUCAAAGAGUCGGAUUGUUUGGGAAUGCAGUCCAAAAUGGGUGGUAAAUUUCAUCUAAAGCUAAAUACUGGCGAGAGACCGAUAGCGAACAAGUACCGUGAGGGAAAGAUGAAAAGAACUUUGAAAAGAGAGUUAAACAGUACGUGAAAUUGUCAAAAGGGAAGCGUUUGACACCAGUGUUGUUUUCUCGAAAAUCAAUUAAAAAAGAUUGGAUUUUGUGUUGUAUUGACUUUAUCAGCUUCCUGCACUCUUUUCUUGUCUUUUUUAAUGCACUUUUCGUUUAACAAGUCAACAUCAAUUUCUUUUGUUGUAAAAGGGUCAUUGGAAGGUGGCUUUCUUUUCGGAGAAAGUGUUUAUAGCCUUUGGCUUCUGCAAUCGGAGAGAUUGAGGUCUGCAGCGUAGAUCCUUCGGGGUUAGAUACAUUUGUGCUAAGUUAUAGCCUUUCAUAGACAACUUGUUGACUAUGAUCAGUCAUGUAGCUUACUCGCUUAUGCUAUUUUACCUACGCUUAGGAUGUUGAUCUCUCACAGUCGAGC